AGAGCGAACGCUGGCGGCAGGCUUAACACAUGCAAGUCGAGCGCCCCGCAAGGGGAGCGGCAGACGGGAGAGUAACACGUGGGAACGUACCUUUCGGUUCGGAACAACCCAGGGAAACUUGGGCUAAUACCGGAUACGUCCGUAAGGAGAAAGAUUUAUCGCCGAAAGAUCGGCCCGCGUCUGAUUAGCUAGUUGGUGAGGUAACGGCUCACCAAGGCGACGAUCAGUAGCUGGUCUGAGAGGAUGAUCAGCCUCACUGGGACUGAGACACGGCCCAGACUCCUACGGGAGGCAGCAGUGGGGAAUAUUGGACAAUGGGCGCAAGCCUGAUCCAGCCAUGCCGCGUGGUGAUGAAGGCCCUAGGGUUGUAAAGCCCUUUCGGCGGGAAGAUAAUGACGGUACCCGCAGAAGAAGCCCCGGCUAACUUCGUGCCAGCAGCCGC
rnacentral:rRNA from 1 species